UACGUAGGGGGCAAGCGUUGUCCGGAUUUAUUGGGCGUAAAGAGCGUGUAGGCGGCCAUGCAGGUCCGUUGUGAAAACUCGAGGCUCAACCUCGAGACGCCGAUGGAAACCGCAUGGCUAGAGUCCGGAAGAGGGGAGUGGAAUUCCUGGUGUAGCGGUGAAAUGCGCAGAUAUCAGGAAGAACACCCGUGGCUAAGGCGGCUCUCUAGUACGGUACUGACGCUGAGACGCGAAAGCGUGGGGAGCGAACAGG
rnacentral:rRNA from 1 species